CCAAGCCCAUAAGUACACCGCCCAAUGGUGGGUUACACUGCCCGACGGUAGGCACAAACACUUGGUCCACCCCUUAGUGUUGCCACUUGAGCGACCUUCAGAGAAGCCAUUGAAGAGUCCACCGCUUGGUGGUGAGUGCGGUACUUGACUUCACCCCUUAGCGGUGCCCCUUAAGCAUGUGGUAGUGGAUGCAUUGAAGGUCACACUACUC
rnacentral:lncRNA from 1 species